AAUCAACGCUGGCGGCGUGCCUAACACAUGCAAGUCGAACGCGAAAGGGGCUUCGGUCCUGAGUAGAGUGGCGAACGGGUGAGUAACACGUGGGUGAUCUACCUUCGAGUGGGGGAUAACGUCCCGAAAGGGACGCUAAUACCGCAUGACGUUCUGGGUUUAAAGACCUGGAAACCAAAGCCGGGGACCGCAAGGCCUGGCGCUUGAAGAGGAGCCCGCGUCCGAUUAGCUAGUUGGCGGGGUAAUGGCCCACCAAGGCGACGAUCGGUAGCCGGCCUGAGAGGGCGGACGGCCACACUGGAACUGAGACACGGUCCAGACUCCUACGGGAGGCAGCAGUGGGGAAUUGUUCACAAUGGGCGCAAGCCUGAUGACGCAACGCCGCGUGGGGGAUGAAGGUCUUCGGAUUGUAAACCCCUGUCGAACGGGACGAAAGACUCGGGAGCUAAUCAUCUCGAGAGUGACGGUACCGUUAAAGGAAGCCACGGCUAACUCUGUGC
rnacentral:rRNA from 1 species